rnacentral:lncRNA from 1 species
CUGGGCCCCGUUCCUUGAUCCUGUGUGGGAGGCUCUGGUGAGAAAGAGAGCUGGUAACGGGGGGUGGGGGUGAGGGGACACAUCAGAGAUUGGGGGCGCGGCGCGGGGACUCCAACUUGCAGAGGGAGGGGUGGACACUCAACAAAGACCUGGGUCCUGUUGUUUUAAAUAAGAAAUUUAUUGCAAAUAUAGAAAUUGAUUCUCUCCAUACAGGAAUCUCCAAGUUGAGGAAAACAAUUUCGUGCCAUUCAGUUUAAAAUAGGAAAUUGGGAGGGAGAGGCAGAUACAGGGAAGAGAAAAUAAAUGAAGUCACCCCCCCCACCCUGAAAAGAAGAAAAGGAGCGUACAUCCCCCCCCACCCAAGGAGGAAAAGGUCCGGUCCACACAGCGAAGGUUCACAGUGUCCAUCUGUGGAAGAGACCUUGUGGCUGUCCCGUGUCGCUGCACGUAAGCGCCUUAUAACCUACCGCGCUUGUCCCCCGAUGCCUGCCCCCCUUUCUGGCCUCAGUCUGUCUUUAACGGGUUUUGAGACCCUACAAGCUUUCCUUCCCUCUCCCUCCUCCCUGUGCUUCCUCCUCUGCUAAAAGUCCGGGACACGGGGGUGGGGAACAUCAGAGACCCUCGGCCAGGCCCAGACUCUCAGCCCUGCCCUGGGAGGAGGGGGAGCAGUGAGAGGCGAGGGGCCAAGGCAGGCCCCUCCUGCCGGGGCGGCGGGUGGGGGAUGAACCAGCCCCGGCCCCUUGAGGUGGUGGCCACAGCAGGCCGAGCUUCCUUCCUGCCAGGCCUCUGCCUUUCACUUCUGGAAGGCCACAAGCUCCAACAGACAGGCACCCAGGGAAUUUCCUCUGGCGAUUCCAGCACGUCCAGGCACGACCAAGGCAGGUCCCCGGAGGUCCAGGGUGUCGCACCCACAUCUGCUCCAGCUGGCUCACCCCUCCCCCCAACUCCACCAGCCCCUCCCCCGGGGCCCCCCCAGUACCCCCCUCCCCAGCCCCCCACCUCUGCCUGCCCUCCUAGCCUGCCCAGGCCGUGGCCCCAGGUCCUGCCAUUACAAACACAGGGCCCCGGCCAGCCAUGUUCUCCUCAACAUAAAUGUCAUUUGUUUUUUGUGAAGAUUUUGCCCCCCGCCCCCAGGGAACGUGAUCCUGAAUCGGACCCAGGACAGGGAUACAGGAAAACCCCCAGGAUGAGCUACCGUGCGGUGGGGACAUCGGGGCGGGGGCUGUGCUGUCGUGGCACCUGUUUUGGGUCUUUUGCAGAGCUGGCCCCUGCCCGGGUUUCAAGAGCUGCUUGUCAGAUCACAACAGAGGGAAUGUGGAAAUGGGGGGGCGGCGGGGAGGCGGGGCAAGGGAGUCUGGACAAACUGGCACAUACACGACAGAUGUUUGCUCAGAAAAAUACAGUAAAAUCAUCAUGCAAAUAUAACAGGGAAUCUGCUUUCUCACACCACUGGCUUCUCCGCCUGCCUGCUUUUCUGUUUUGCCAAUCCGGUGUGAGGAGGGGUUGGGGGGCAGGUUUUGGGGAGCUGGGGGAGGCCUGCUCUGCGCGUCCAUGCCCGCCUCCCCCCUCCACUCCCCAGGAGAACAGUCCUUUCUUUGCAAAUGUCACCCCCAAAGUGAGCCCCGGGCUUGGUCGGUCCCCCCAGUGGGUGUGAGAGAGGUGCUCGGUCGAGCCCUAAGGCCCCCUCACCCUCCGCUGCCACCCACCCCCAGAUCCUACCCUGGCAGGAAGGUCACUAGAGCCCCCCACUCAGGAACUGGCACUAGCUUUCCGGUCAGACUCCGCCCACAGUACAGGUCUUGGCCCCUUCCCGGCACCCACCCUCACCCCACAGUCACUCCCCAGAUCUCAAGAAACCCCACUUGGGCCAGUGACACAGGCCAGAGCGUGGGGAGAGCCGGGCGGGCUCCUCCCUCUCCUGAGGUGGUUGGGGCGCCAGGGGGCACCCUGGCAGGCAGGCGAAGCUACGGCUGUCUCCACCCCCUACAGGCCCAUCUCCCAUCCGCAGGUGGAAGGACCGCUGACUCUGGCCCCUCAACACCCUGACGGUGUUCAAGACCCCCCAGUCUCAGGACCCCAGAUCUGCCCUCUUAGAGCUCGCCCCCGGGAAGCCCCUUGUUCUGGAGAAAGGCAGCCACUGUGGUCUGGCCCUGCCCUCCCUUCAGCGCCCUCUGCCACCCACACUGAGAAACCCCAGGAGCCCAACGGUCCCAACUGCCAGGCUCUGGGUCGCUAUGGUGACAGAGGCCGGCCAGGGUGGGGGGAGGGCCCCCUCCAACCCAGCCUGCUCCUUCCCGGCGGGGGUGGGGGGGCUCACCGCCGUUUGUGCUUUGUUCGAUGUUGGGUGGGGGUCAGCAAGGGAGGAGUGGCCAUCUCCAUGGCAACGUGGGUGCCCCUCAGGCCAGAGGGUGGGGGUGGGGAUGGGCAGCCACGAAGGGGUGAGUGGAAAGCCCCCAAAAGCCCUCCUUGCUCCAGACAGGCUGAGGCGCUGCCCCAAGAGCCCAUGACAGGGGGUCAGGUAGGUGGGAGGCCAGGGUGUGGGGGCGGAGGCUGGAAGGGCCCCCCCAUGAGACCCCACCUCCCUGCUGCUCCCAGGCAUUAGCGUUCUCGGCUGCGCUUGUGGGACGAGGAGGGGUCCUGGAGGCCCAGAGAGG